rnacentral:rRNA from 1 species
CCUACGGGGGGCAGCAGUGGGGAAUAUUGCACAAUGGGGGAAACCCUGAUGCAGCAACGCCGCGUGAGUGAAGAAGUAUUUCGGUAUGUAAAGCUCUAUCAGCAGGGAAGAAGAUGACGGUACCUGAGUAAGAAGCCCCGGCUAACUACGUGCCAGCAGCCGCGGUAAUACGUAGGGGGCAAGCGUUAUCCGGAUUUACUGGGUGUAAAGGGAGCGUAGACGGUGAGACAAGUCUGAAGUGAAAGCCCGGGGCUCAACCCCGGGACUGCUUUGGAAACUGCCUGACUGGAGUGCUGGAGAGGCAA